rnacentral:lncRNA from 1 species
CUAUCCAUUUUUCAGGCUCAGGACAGUUUGUUAAUAGUUGAUUAAGACGAGAAUUAAUCUCGGAACUGCAUCCUAGAAAGUAAGGGUUCGUAGCCCUACACCUUCUUGGUCAGUUGGGGGCCCAUGUGUCACUGUAAAAGUAAUUUUAUACUUCAGUUAUCUGAUUUAAAGUAUGUAUGAACAUAUUUAGCUUUUACACCAUGUUUUUGGCAGGUUUCAGUAUUUUCAAAA